UUCAGACUGGUGUAAAUGGUAGCAUAAUCGGUUCUCACCCUGUAGGGCCCUUCGGGGGGUGGUAGUUCUGGUUCGAGUCCAGGGUUUGGAC
rnacentral:tRNA from 1 species